GGGUCAGUAGGUUGGUCGUGCCACCGGUACGUACUGGUCUCACUGAUUCCUCCUUCCUGAAGAACCGUAAUGCCAUUAAUUUGGUGUUGCGGGGAAACAGGACUGUUACUUUGAAAAAAUUAGAGUGUUUAAAGCACGCUAACGCUUGAAUACAUUAGCAUGGAAUAAUGAAAUAGGACGAUCGAUCCUAUUUUGUUGGUUUCUAGGAUUGACGCA
rnacentral:rRNA from 1 species